GUACCCCCUUAGCUCAGUUGGUUAGAGCAGACGGCUCAUAACCGUCUGGUCGUAGGUUCGAGACCUACAGGGUACA
rnacentral:tRNA from 1 species